rnacentral:rRNA from 1 species
UACGUAGGGUGCGAGCGUUAAUCGGAAUUACUGGGCGUAAAGCGUGCGCAGGCGGUUUUGUAAGCCAGAUGUGAAAUCCCCGGGCUUAACCUGGGAAUGGCAUUUGGGACUGCAAAGCUUGAGUGUGGCAGAGGGGACUGGAAUUCCUGGUGUAGCAGUGAAAUGCGUAGAGAUCAGGAGGAAUACCGAUGGCGAAGGCAGGUCCCUGGGCUGACACUGACGCUCAUGCACGAAAGCGUGGGGAGCAAACACG